rnacentral:misc_RNA from 1 species
UCUAGGGAGCACCCAAGCGGUGCCUCGGUCCAGGGCUCGUCUUUUCCCCAAUAGGGGCACAGGCGAGCCCGCGCGGCCUCCCGCACGAAGCGCCUCUCGAGGCGCGGGAUGCGAGGGGUGACGGAGCAGACCGGGCCUAGCAUGUCGACCGAGCCUGGCUGGAAUGACCGGUGGGCGCCAAGCCCCUCACUACUGGGGGCGACGUGGACCGCCGGCGCAAACGACGCCAGCGUGCUGUUGAGUUUUGAGAGACCGGCGUCCGCCGUUCUCCGCGAGGACGCGUCAUCGAAAGACGCGACCGCAGUGCGCGGAGCCGGCCGGCGUGAAGCCUCUCCACGGUCCUUGAAAACUGCACAGAAGCCACAUCAGCCGCCAUCGAUAAGCGGCGGCUGAAAACGGGUAUCACCGGGUCCUCUGACCCGGCGGAGAAGCUCGCGAGAGCUUCGAGGCCGGAUAGGACCUGAUCACCGUCAAGAUAGUAAGGGCACAUGGUGGAUGCCUUGGCACCUAGAGUCGAUGAAGGGCGUGGACGGCUGCGAUAAGCCACGGUUAGGCGCUUAAUAGCCAUUGACCCGUGGAUUC